rnacentral:lncRNA from 1 species
CUUGGAAUCAAAAGGUUCCACUGCGCCUGAUUUAUGAUUCUCUUUUUUUUUAAGUCCAAAAGAUUGUUGUGGCUUCUACUUAAUGUUAAUGGUAGAGAGAUAGGUUGAAAUUCUCUGUCAAAAUAAGUACGGACUGCUCUAGGUGUCACUCCUUUUAACAACAACGCUAACCGGACAUAAUUCUCCUCUUCUAUAGAAAGAGGUGCCAUGAUUUCAGAUUCGUUUUACAAUAUAAAACGUUAUCAUUGUAACUUAAUGGUUCAUGGAUUCCUGUAA